ACAGCACUUGGGAAAGGGCACUUGGGGUCUUGGCAGUGAACAAAACAUGACUCUGUCCCAUUCUAGUGAUAGGUGGGGAGGUGGACAGAGAAGCAAAACGUGCAUCACACGGAGCCAUUGAUUAUGAAGAAAGUGGAUACUCAAGAACAGACAUUCAGCUUUUCUGGGCUCAGGGUCUAGAAAGACCAUCCAGGAACAUUCUUCUUACCUCCAGUUAGAGGACAGAAAGGAACACUGUUCAAGUCUACUUAGAACACACCAAAGAUGGUAGUUCUCUUCAGUCCAACGACAGAGGCUCCUGGCAAUUUUGAAGAAGCACCCACCGGGAGCCAACGACCAAUGUCUCCUGUGUGAAGCCAGCCGUCCUCAUCCAGAACCUCCUUGGUCUUCUCAGGGUCCUUCAG